rnacentral:ncRNA from 2 species
UUCAUACCGAUUGGAUCAGGUGUCGCAAGACUUAAUAGGGAAUCCGGUAUAUGCCGGAGCGGUCCCGCCACUGUAGCAGCGAGCCGGUCUGCACGAGAAAAAUCUUUGUGUUUCUUGAGAUGGUCACUGAGGAGUCAAUCCUUGGGAAGGCGCAGACAGGUGAUGAACUGAAGCCAGGAGAACUGCCUGAUUGACAAUCACCGU